rnacentral:lncRNA from 1 species
GCUCAACAUCUGUCUACCUUUAAAAUAAAGUUUACUAUUGUCUGUCUGUCUGUCCCUAUGUGGGCUGUGAUAUUGCUUGUGAGGGUGCAGGGAUGUGCCUGUCACUAUUCAUGUAUGGUCAGAGAGCAACUUUUGGGACUCGUUUAUUGCCUUGUACUUUGUUGAAGCAAGGUCUUUUGUUUCUGCAGUGUUGUAUGCAGCAGGCGGCUUAUAUUGCAGCAGCUUCUGGCUGAGUCUCCAGUUCCCAACUCCCUGCAGAGGCACGGGGACUCAUGCACAACUGCUUCUGGUUUUCUAUAUUCUCUCAGGGAAUCUGAAGUAUUGGCUACAGACCCAGGCUUGCCUGCCACUUCAAGGUGCAGAGUGGUGAGUGCCACUACAAAGAAUAACUAUGUGAUGGAGAGGUGAGUGUUGAGGCCCCUCUGCCCAGCAUAGCUGUAGCCAUUUUGUUCCAUACCCCCCAGCUAUUUCAUAAUGUUGCUGUAAUCUGCCCGCCAGUCAUUGACACAGAAAAGUAAUUUGACUGAGAGCAAGGUCAAGAUGACCACAUACCCUUAUAUGUUUUGUAUGUACUGAGGUUUGUUAAUCUUAAGACAUUCCAGAACCACAAGCUACACUUUAGGACCCAUCAAAUUAAAGGUCAAUACGAACUGGUUGUCUAAAACAGCUUGAGUCAGGGCCGAUCACUGGGCAGCACUUCCAGCACUUGCAUAUGAGCUCAUUGUGGUUUUUAUGAUUCUAGCCUUUAUAAGCUGGCCCUGAGAAGUGUCCAGUGUGUAGCUUCCACUUGUGCAGCCGGAGCUGUCACCCUGGUCCGAUCAGUCUUGGAGUGUGCAUUCAAUAAACC